AGUGGCGAACGGGUGAGUAAUACAUAAGCAACCUACCCAUUUGACCGGGAUAACAGUUGGAAACGACUGCUAAUACCGGAUAGGUGACCGGGGGACAUCCCCUGAUCAUUAAAGCUGGGACACAGCACGAAUGGAUGGGCUUAUGGCGCAUUAGUUAGUUGGCGGGGUAACGGCCCACCAAGACGAUGAUGCGUAGCCGACCUGAGAGGGUGACCGGCCACACUGGGACUGAGACACGGCCCAGACUCCUACGGGAGGCAGCAGUAGGGAAUUUUCGGCAAUGGGCGCAAGCCUGACCGAGCAACGCCGCGUGAGUGAAGAAGGCCUUCGGGUUGUAAAGCUCUGUUGUAAGGGAAGAAUGGCCAAGAGAGGGAAUGCUCUUGGAGUGACGGUACCUUACCAGAAAGCCACGGCUAACUACGUGCCAGCAGCCGCGGUAAUACGUAGGUGGCAAGCGUUAUCCGGAAUUAUUGGGCGUAAAGGGAGCGUAGGCGGCUUGAUAAGUCUGAGGUGAAAGUUCGGGGCUCAACUCCGGAUUGCCUUAGAAACUGUCAGGCUAGAGUGCAGGAGAGAGCGAUGGAAUUCCAUGUGUAGCGGUAAAAUGCGUAGAUAUAUGGAGGAACACCAGUGGCGAAGGCGGUUGCCUGGCCUGUAACUGACGCUGAGGCUCGAAAGCGUGGGGAGCGAAUAGGAUUAGAUACCCUAGUAGUCCGCGCU
rnacentral:rRNA from 1 species